GACUUGGUGGUCAAUUAUUUUCCCUGAAUUGAUUUGGUCAUCGAUUCUUUUGCCUGGACUGACUCUGUCAUCGACUGUUGUCCCUGGAAUGAUUUGGUACUCAACUGCUUUCCCUGGACUGAUUGGUCAUCAACUCUUUUCCCCGGAUUUACUCGGUCAUUGACUGUGUUCCCUGGACUGACUUGGUACUCAACUGAUUUCCCCUGGAUUAAUUCAGUCAUUAACUCUUUUUCCUAGUUUGACUGGGUACUCAACUCAUUUCCCUGGAAUGAUUUGGUACCCAACUCAUUUCCCUGAUUCGACUCGGUACUCAACUGGUUUCCCUGGAAUGACUUGGUACUCAGCUGGUUUCCCUGGAUUGACACCAUAUUCAACUUGUUUCCCUGGAUUAACUUGGUAUUCAACUCAUUUCCCUGGACUGACUCUACCCUGAAAUGAUUUGUGCCCUGGACUGUCUGGUAUUCAACUCUUUUCCCUGGAUUGACUCAGUCAUUUGCCCUCAUUUCCUGUUUUACUUGGAACAACUCAGUCAUUCACUAUUUUCCACACUGAGGGCAUCUCCAUGACUUCCUAUCAUCAAUGCUUUCCCUGGACUAAGUCAGUCAUAGACUCUAAUCUCUGGAAUGACUCAUGAUCACUAUUUUCCAAUCUCUGGAAUGACUUAUGAUCACUAUUUUUUCUGGUGUGGCUUGGUAACUGUCUUUUUUAAAUGAACUGAAGAGAUCAUGCCCUGCCACCUCAUCAACUAUUUAUUUCCCUUGUUGUGACUUUGUCAGAGGCUGUGUUCCCUGGGCUGAGGUCAUCUCCUCUUCUUUUUGUCAUCAGUAUUUUCCCUGGAGUGACUCGGUCAUCUCUUCUUUUCCCUGAACUGUUGUGUAAUCACGUCUUUUCCCUGGAAUCCCUAGAUCAUCAACUAUUUUCCCUGGACAGACUCGGUUAUUGAUUAUGUUCCCUGGAGUGACUCAGUCAUUGAUUGCUUUUCCUGGACUGAUCUCUUCAUCACCUCAGUCGUCUUAGAAGGGAGAUUGCUGGUAAUAAAAGUAUAUUUUUAUUUUCAUAAAUAUGUACACAAAUACAUGAACAUAUCUUUAUACACAUGUGUAUCCAAGCCUCCUUCAGGAAGUUUCAGCCCAUCUGAGAAUGCAUAACAAUGCCUUCCAAAGUUCAUGUGUGGCAAAA
rnacentral:lncRNA from 1 species